UACGUAGGGUGCAAGCGUUAAUCGGAAUUACUGGGCGUAAAGCGUGCGCAGGCGGUUUUUCAAGACAGAUGUGAAAUCCCCGGGCUUAACCUGGGAAUGGCAUUUGUGACUGGAAGGCUAGAGUGUGUCAGAGGGGGGUAGAAUUCCACGUGUAGCAGUGAAAUGCGUAGAGAUGUGGAGGAAUACCGAUGGCGAAGGCAGCCCCCUGGGAUAACACUGACGCUCAUGCACGAAAGCGUGGGGAGCGAACAGG
rnacentral:rRNA from 1 species